rnacentral:rRNA from 1 species
GGUGAACGCUGGCGGUAGGCCUAACACAUGCAAGUCGAACGGCAGCACAGUAAGAGCUUGCUCUUACGGGUGGCGAGUGGCGGACGGGUGAGGAAUACAUCGGAAUCUACUUUUUCGUGGGGGAUAACGUAGGGAAACUUACGCUAAUACCGCAUACGACCUACGGUUGAAAGCAGGGGAUCUUCGGACCUUGCACGAUUGAAUGAGCCGAUGUCGGAUUAGCUAGUUGGCGGGGUAAAGGCCCACCAAGGCGACGAUCCGUAGCUGGUCUGAGAGGAUGAUCAGCCACACUGGAACUGAGACACGGUCCAGACUCCUACGGGAGGCAGCAGUGGGGAAUAUUGGACAAUGGGCGCAAGCCUGAUCCAGCCAUACCGCGUGGGUGAAGAAGGCCUUCGGGUUGUAAAGCCCUUUUGUUGGGAAAGAAAAGCAGCAGGUUAAUACCCCGCUGUUCUGACGGUACCCAAAGAAUAAGCACCGGCUAACUUCGUG